AUCUGCCGAUAAACACUCACUCAUUUAUUCAUUCACUCAUACACUCAUUCAACAAGGAUUUAUGGCACCUGUUUUACUCUAAGCACUGAGGUAGGUGCUAGGGAAGCCAUGCAAAACCUAGGGGUCUCAGUGAAAUUAAUACUCAGGAGGUCAGAUAUCUUCUCUGAACCUCAGCUUCUUUUUCUGUAAGGUGGUGGGGGUGCUGAUGAAGAUGUGAGAUCCCCUUUUCCUCCACUGUGAAGUUAAUCCCCAUCUCUAGAAGAAGAGCAUCCUGGAGCCACAAGAGGGGGACUGGAAAAAUAGAGUCAAGAUACAGCCUUCUGGUUGAAUGCUCCUGGUUAGGCCACUUCCCCACCUGGGACCUCAGCUUCUUCAUCAGUAAAAUGAGAGGGCUGGACUACGUGGGUUUAAGAGCUCAUCUUGCUCUAACCAUCUGUGAUUCUCUGAUUCAGAUAUUCAUGAUUCUAGCAUGAGACUACCCUAUAACUCCAGGAAUGGCCCUCCUGUUCUGGGAGCAAAUCUCCUCCUCACAGGAUGCCUUUCAUCAUGAAAGCAGCAAAAAGGGACUCGUGAUGUGAGCAUGAAGGGGUAUGGGGGCCUCUCCUAGGAACUGGUCUCCCAGGAUCCCCAGAAUCACUACAUUUAUCUUUCCCAUCAUGCUCUUAAUCUCUGAAAAUUUAAUGGCACGGCCAUAAACUGCCUAAAGAACACAGCUGACCCGUCACCAAUAAAUCAGAAACUCCCGGUGAUGCUUUGGGAUAAAUGAUAGCCCCUCGGAUCAGUGGGCAGAUGAGCUGGGGAUGUUUGAUGAACCCAAGAAAGAUCUCAACCCGCACCCUGCUGGGGUAGGAGGCAUUGCUAAGAAGUCAGGGAGUGUGCUGAGUGGAUCAAGAGGCCCCCAGAGUCAUCCCUGGGUGUUUGGACAGAAGCAGACUGAUGCUUUCAAACUGUGGUACUAGAGAAGAGUCUUGUGAGUCCCUUGGACUGCAAGGAAAUCAACCCUGAAUAUUCAUUGGAAGGACUGAUGCUGAUGCUGAAGCUCCAGUACUUUGGCCACCUGAUGCGAAGACCGGACUCACUCGAAAAGACCCUGAUGCUGGGAAGGAUCGAAGGCAGGAGGAGAAGGGGAGGACAGAGGAUGAGAUGGUGGGAUGGCAUCACCGACUCAAUGGACGUGAAUUUGAGCAAGCUCCGGGAGAUAGUAAUGGACAGGGAAGCCUGGGUUGCUGCAUUCCAUGGAGUCACAAAGAGUUGGACGCAUCUAAGCGAAUGAACAAUAGACCCAAGCUUUCACAGUCACAACUGACCCUAUUUUACCUGGAAAAUAAACACCCAGAGGGAGAACAAAAAAACAACCUAGGGUGUAUGGUCAGGCUAUUCAAGGUGGUGGUUCUCCUGUUCUCUGUACCUCCCCUGCUCAACCCGCCCCUGCUUCACCGGCACCUUCUCCGGUCCCCCAGCCUGUGCCUGCCCCCUGCCCCAGCUAGUGCGGGUUCUAAUCCUUAGCCCCGAAAGGCUCCACCUACUAGUUUACUAAUAGGAAACACCUGCCCUCGAGAUGGUCGUUAACCUGAGGGACUGUGAGCAGCACGUGUCCAAGCGACUGGUUGCCCUGGUAACCUAGCUGACGUCAGUUCCCCCCUAUAAGCGAUAGCAUUCCCUCGCCCCGCCCUCAGUGGUGAAGAUGAUGGCCCCGUAGCAGUCACCGCCUGCCGCAGACAGUGGUGUGUUGCUCCAAGACCUGGCUUCGGACAUGGGCAACUCGAGAACCAGGCAGAAGGGCAGCUGCUGCCUGGGAUCGGAGGCUUUGGAGUCAGCUCCUAUGGAUGCCGAAUCGGAGGCCCUCCCAUGCCCUGCCUCGGCUGUUUACGAACUGCAACGGCACGUUGUAUCGUGGACUCUGGCUCUUAAGCACAGUGAACCCAGAGUGGAAGUAGGUGGGGCUGAUGCGUCGUUACCUCCAAGACCUGAAGCCCAUUGGUUUGUACUGCUGCCCGGAGCCCCAGCGUGUCAGCGUCCUCUUCAUUCAUUGGUUUGUACUGCUGCCCGGAGCCCCAGCGUGUCAGCGUCCUCUUCAUUCAUUGGUUUGUACUGCUGCCCGGAGCCCCAGCGUGUCAGCAUCCUCUUCAUCCAUGGAACCCGUUGUUUGGUUAUUCUUUGGUUCUAUGAGUUCUUCCGUCAUUUGUUUUGAUCCGUUAGCUCAGUGAUACAGUGUCUGAUGUUUCGUAGGUGAAGGCCUGGAAACAGAGCCCUGAAGUAGCCAAAGUGGCUUUGUGCCCAUUGUAACAGGUCUUUAAACUCAUGGAAUAUUAGAAUUAGAGGGGAUUUGGUUGACCAGUUCCCUCCCUCCUGGGUAAAUCCUGUAGCCCACACCAAGACGUUGUCCAGCCUUCUAGUGGGAAGUCCUCUGCCUCCCAGAGAAUCUGCUUUCAUGGGUUUUGACCAGCUCUGCCACUUACUAGCUGUGUGAUUUUGGGGGAAACCACUUAACUCCUCUGAGCCUCAAUCUGUGUGUGUUAUACUGUAGUGUGUUUUGAAUGAGAUGAUAUAUGUAAAAUACUUCAUACGUAGUAAAUGCACAGUUAAAGGCAAUUAC
ensembl:lncRNA